AAUCCUCUGUGAUGUGCGUGACUGCCAAAAACGUUCUUUGAUCUAUAAGCGUUUUUAAGGAAGCACCCUCAGGUUAGUGGCAGUAAACCAGACUUGUAUCUGGAAACUUUAAGCUAGCUAAAUGCCCAGCUUCCACCUUGGUUAUCCCGGGGUCAAAAACUGCGGUAAGACGGCAUUACGGAGGGGGU
rnacentral:other from 1 species